ACGGAAGGCAGCAGUGAGGAAUAUUGGUCAAUGGUCGGAAGACUGAACCAGCCAAGUCGCGUGCAGGAAGACGGUCCUAUGGAUUGUAAACUGCUUUUGUACGGGAAUAAAGUGGGGGACGUGUCCCCCUUGGAAUGUACCGUAAGAAUAAGGGUCGGCUAACUCCGUGCCAGCAGCCGCGGUAAUACGGAGGACCCGAGCGUUAUCCGGAUUUAUUGGGUUUAAAGGGUGCGCAGGCGGAGAUGCAAGCCAGCCGUAAAAUCGUGGGGCUCAACCCCAUUGAGCGGUUGGAACUUCAUCCCUUGAUUGCGGCAGAGGGAGGUGGAACUCGUGGUGUAGCGGUGAAAUGCAUAGAUAUCACGAAGAACUCCGAUUGCGAAGGCAGCCUCCUGGACCGUAAAUGACGCUCAUGCACGAAGGCGCGGGUAUCAAACAGGAUUAGAUACCCUGGUA
rnacentral:rRNA from 1 species